rnacentral:lncRNA from 1 species
GGGGCGGCAUUUAUUUUAUGAAUGGGUUCUAGUGGAUGUAGAGGAGUCCUUCUCCACUUAAAACUGGUUCAAGUUGGAUAAGGAUCCAAUUUAAAUUGACCCAAUCCUAUUAGGUCAAAGGCAACUGGUCUAGGUUAGCUUAAACAAUUUGAUCUAAAUCAAUUUAGGAACUUGGGUUAAUAUAAUGUGCUAGCAUAUCAAAUUAACCCAUAAAAAUUAUAUUAAACUCUAAU